rnacentral:lncRNA from 1 species
CUUGGUCACUGUGCGCUUUACCAGCUCGAGGGGCCCCAUUGGAGCCUAUGCUUUGCCCGCCCCACCCCAGUGGGCUUAGGUUAGCUUCGUGCCUUAGUAUCUGGGGCCCACUGCUGGAACCAACUCCUGGUCCUGUGCUGUCUGAGAGGGUCUGUGGCCCUGAAACUGGCUGGCUCGUGUGUGGUUCUCGCCAGAGCCCCCUGGGCACCCCCACUUCAAGAUUUGCAGGAGUGUCGGGUGCGGGUAAAGAGAGUCUGUGGUGUUUUCCUACGUGGGUGUCUGACAAGCUGGGAGUCAAGAUGUAGCUCAGCAGGCCAGGCCAAGCGUCCAGCUGCUGUGCCCAGGGGUGAGUGUCCUCUGACCUUGGGGGAAGCUGGCAGUUCUCCAGGGCCGGGCUACCCCACUUCCUUUUGCGUGUGCUGCUUCUGACUGAGGACUUUCUAUGGCAAGUGGGGACAGAUGGCUGGGAAGAGGGGACCUGGUCUGAAAGGACAGCGUUGGAUCCAGAGGGCAGAAUAGAUGCCAGCCUUGCCCAGCUGGACUUUGUACUGUGGUCUGGAUCCCAAGCCUCAGCCACAGCAUGACAGAUAGCACCACCCCACCCCCUCCUCGAGCUGGUGGCUGGGAGCCCAGGAUCUGGCCAGAAAUGCUGCUGCCCGCCUAGAGUCCCAAGGUGGGCUGAAGGCUGACCUUGCUCCUCUCUGGGCAGACCUGAGCACCCUGGCCAGGGUUGCUUCUUGUGCCGAUCACUUGGUGAUGCCGAGUGCUGGGAGGGGUGUGGCACGGGACGCCGAGUUCUCCAUGAGCCCCUGACUGUGACCACCCUGGACCUGGCACUUCUGGAGUCACUGUGGCUUACCCAUCCCCACCCUCACCCAGUGGCCACCAGCGACCCCAGGUCCUGGCUGGUGCCUCCGAAGCACCCACUCCCCACCUCUCUGUCUUUGCUCUGCCCGCCCCUGGCGUGGCCCUAGUCAGGUGUGAGCCUGGCGCCAUUAUCUGUCAAAAUGUCUAUCAUUCUUAGAUCAAAACCGCCGUCUUGUGUGCUUAUUCAAGAGGUGGGAGGAAAGGGCACAGAAUAAGGAGGAGGAGGUGGACCCCUUGCUCCCCAGCUCCUCUAAGCUCCUCGAGCAUCAGCCCAGUGGCUGGCCCUGGACCCUUUACCUGGUCAGGUGGGGUCAGUCCCAGGCUGGGUGCACAGGCACCCUGCCCUUGCAGCUUCUGGCAGAGGGACAAGCAGGGUGUCCCACUGCUGGUGUGCCCACAGACCUUGGGAAACCAUCCUCCUGGGUCUGCUGUGCUGGGUGGGGGUGGGGGGCGGCACCUGGUGCAGUUAGAAAUAGCCCAGUCUCACAGCUGACCCACUUGAGCUGUGACAAGCAGCAAUUAGGCAGCUCUAGGAGGGCCCCGUCCCUGGUCCAUGCCUCCCCAUGCAGUGCCAGGGCUGGGAGUAGGGGACAGGAUAAACCUGGGGCCCCAGUGUGUGGCAUUCACUGGAUCGCCACCUGCCCUCCUGCGUGGGCCCUCCCCCACCUUGGCUGUCCUUGAGAUCCAAGAGCUGUGACCCUGAGGAGCCAGCUGGGGGUGGGCCAGGCUCUGAAGAGUGACUCAUCUCCUCCGAGAGCACUGACCCUCAGCCUUCUGCUCCAGAGAUGCCUCUUUAGGGCUCCGUUGUGGGGGCUUCUUGGAGGUCCAGAGUCCAGCUUUGGGUCUGCAGAGGUGGAGCUGAGGAGGCCUGCCCCAGCACAGUCCAGCGAUGAGCCCUGGCCUGUGAGACGACCGGCAGCUGGUGUCCAGGCAGAGGGCUUCUGCUUCUGAGCUCACGGUCAUCCCCACAAGCUGCUCUCCCCAGGUGGCCCCACCAUCCUCCCCAGGGUGCGGGGGACACCCAAGCUCCUGCCCCACGCUGCUGCCCCAGUCCACCUGGAGGACUGGCUGCACACCUCGUCCAGAGGCUUCCCUCUUCCACCCCCCUCGAGGGCUGUGCCUCCUUCGCUCCCUCUCUCAUUGUGGCCUCUGCUCUUCUGGUCACCUCUGCAGCCUCCCUGUGCCUCAU